UGAGCCAAGUUUAGGGUUUUCUCAAAACCCAAGCAGUAUUGAACUGAAGAGUUUGAUCAUGGCUCAGAUUGAACGCUGGCGGCAGGCCUAACACAUGCAAGUCGAGCGGAUGAAGGGAGCUUGCUCCUGGAUUCAGCGGCG
rnacentral:rRNA from 1 species